AACUCUUCUUCGGAAGAGAUAUAGAGUGGCGCACGGGUGAGUAACACGUAGGUAAUUUACCUCUGGGUGGGGAAUAACUUGGGGAAACCCAAGCUAAUACCGCAUAAUGCAGCGGCUCCUAAUGGAGACAGUUGUUAAAGCUUUAGUGCCUGGAGAGAAGCCUGCGGCGGAUUAGCUAGUUGGUAAGGUAAUGGCUUACCAAGGCGACGAUCCGUAUCCGGUCUAAGAGGACGGUCGGACACACUGACACUGAAUAACGGGUCAGACUCCUACGGGAGGCAGCAGUCGGGAAUUUUGGGCAAUGGGCGAAAGCCUGACCCAGCAACGCCGCGUGAAGGAUGAAGUAUUUCGGUAUGUAAACUUCGGAAGAAUGGGAAGAAUAAAUGACGGUACCAUUUUUAAGCCCCGGCUAACUCCGUGCCAGCAGCCGCGGUAAUACGGAGGGGGCAAGCGUUGUUCGGAUUUACUGGGCGUAAAGGGCGCGUAGGCGGCGCAACAAGUCACUUGUGAAAUCUCCGGGCUUAACUCGGAACUGCCAAGUGAUACUGUCGUGCUAGAGUGCAGAAGGGGCAAUCGGAAUUCUUGGUGUAGCGGUGAAAUGCGUAGAUAUCAAGAGGAACACCUGAGGCGAAGGCGGAUUGCUGGGCUGACACUGACGCUGAGGCGCGAAAGCUAGGGUAGCAAACGGGAUUAAAUACCCCGGUAGUCCUAGCCUUAAACGAUGAAU
rnacentral:rRNA from 1 species